UACGUAGGGGGCGAGCGUUGUCCGGAAUUAUUGGGCGUAAAGAGCUCGUAGGCGGUUCGGCAAGUCACGUGUGAAAUCUCCACGCUCAACGUGGAGGCGCCACGUGAGACUGCUGUGACUCGAGUCCGGUAGGGGAGCGUGGAAUUCCCGGUGUAGCGGUGAAAUGCGCAGAGAUCGGGAGGAACACCCGUAGCGAAGGCGGCGCUCUGGGCCGGUACUGACGCUGAGGAGCGAAAGCGUGGGGAGCAAACAGG
rnacentral:rRNA from 2 species